rnacentral:rRNA from 1 species
CCCUCGCCGCAAGACUAAGGUUUCCUGAUCAACGCUAAUCGGAUCAGGGUUAGUCGGGUCCUAAGGCUCAGCCGAACGGUGAGGCCGAUGGCAGAACAGGUUAAUAUUCCUGUACUACCUAUAGGAGUGAUGUGGAGACGGAGGAGUGACAACGCCGCGGACUGACGGAAUAGUCCGUUAAAGGGUGUAGAUGUUGAUUAUCCCAGGCAAAUCCGGGAUAAGAGUCGAACCUGACAGUAUACCAAUUUCCCCGGAAAACGGUAAUAGUGCGUGUAAACAUACUCCCAAGAAAAUCCGCUAAACUUAAUCUUAUAGGUACCCGUACCGUAAACGGACACACGUAGUCGGGUUGAAUAUACUCAGGCGCUUGAGUGAAUCACGGUUAAGGAACUAGGCAAAUUGACCCUGUAACUUCGGGAUAAAGGGUCCCUACCCGGUGACGGGAGGGCGCAGAGAAUAGGUCCAGGCAACUGUUUAACAAAAACACAGGGCUGUGCAAAAUUGAAAGAUCACGUAUACAGCCUGACACCUGCCCGGUGCUGGAAGGUUAAGAGGAGAUGUCAUCGCAAGAGAAGCAUUGAAUUGAAGCCCCAGUAAACGGCGGCCGUAACUAUAACGGUCCUAAGGUAGCGAAAUUCCUUGUCGGGUAAGUUCCGACCUGCACGAAUGGUGUAAUGAUCUGGACACUGUCUCAACCGUGAGCUCAGUGAAAUUGUAGUAUCGGUGAAGAUGCCGAUUACCCGCGAUGGGACGAAAAGACCCCGUGAACCUUUACUAUAGCUUAACAUUGAAUUUGGGUAAUUGAUGUGUAGGAUAGGCCGGAGACUUUGAAGCAGGCACGCCAGUGUUUGUGGAGUCGCUGUUGAAAUACGGCCCUUUGGUUAUUUGAGUUCUAACUCGCUGAUGCGAGGACACUGUUUGGUGGGUAGUUUGACUGGGGUGGUCGCCUCCAAAAGCGUAACGGAGGCUUCUAAAGGUGCCCUCACGCCGAUUGGUAACCGGCGGUAGAGUGUAAUGGCAUAAGGGCGCUUGACUGGGAGACUUACAAGUCGAUCAGGUAGGAAACUAGAGCAUAGUGAUCCGGUGUUUCCGUAUGGAAGGGACAUCGCUCAAAGGAUAAAAGGUACUCCGGGGAUAACAGGCUGAUCCCUCCCAAGAGC